CAACAAGGACGAAGAUAGGAGGCAAGUCUGUAUGUGAAGUUUGGGAUGACGCCGCAGACAGGAAAUAUGAUUACACCUGUGGUCAAUUGAUUGGUGGAAUCGUCUCUGGUUUUAUUGCCGCCAUAUUGUAUGGAGUGGAUGCUAUUUUCACUUUCAAAACUUCUACGGAACAGAGUUAACAUGGAAGCAAAUUUAUCGCAUUUAGUCCUCAACCAACAAACAAAAAUUAAUAUUUUUGUGUCAUUUAGGUUAUUAUAACAUUUUCAUGUAAAGUAACUGUUACAUCAUUAAGCAUGCAAUUGAAUAAAAAUAAGAAUUUUCGUCCUUGCUGUUGA